AUUCUUUGCUACAAACUUGGGCCUGAAAGGCAGGUGGGGUAAAGGAACAGCACUAGUCUUAGAACCAGCCUUUUACUGGCUAUGACACCUUGAGCUAGUCCCUUGGCUUGUCUGAGCCUCAGUUUGUCCUUCUGGAAGGUAAGGAUUAUGAUGAAAUUAUCCUCAAAGUAGGGGUGGCAGGCAAACACUAGCAGGCCCUGGAUAAAUGCAUGUGAAUGGCUCUCCAGAUUGCUGGAUUCCAGUUCUGCCUGGCUGUGUUUUUUUUUGUUUUGUUUUGUUUUUUGAGACAGAGUCACGCUCUGUCACCCAGGCUGGAGUGCAGUGGUGCAAUCUCGGCUCACUACAAGCUCUGCCUCCCAGGUUCACGCGAUUCUCCUGCCCAAGCCUCCUGAGUAGCUGGGAUUACAGGCAUGCACCAACACGCCUGGCUAAUUCUGUAUUUUUAGUAGAGGCGGGGGUUUCUCCAUGUUGGUCAGGCUGGUCUCGAAUUCCUGACCUCAGGUGAUCCGCCCGCCUCAGCACUCCCAAAGUACUGGGAUUACAGCUGUGAGGCACCGCACCCAGCCAAAAAUUUCCAGUUGCUUUCUUUUCUUUUUGAGAUAGAGUUUCACUCUUGUUGCCCAGACUGGAGUGCAAUGGCACGAUCUCGACUCACUGCAACCUCUGCCUCCUGGGUUCAAGCAAUUCUCCUGUCUCAGCCUCCCAAGUAGCUGGAAUUACAGGCGUGUGCUACCAUGCCCAGCAAUUUUUUUUUUUUUUUUUUCAGUAGAGAUGGAGUUUCACCAGGCCAGGCUGAUCUCGAACUCCUGACCUCAGGUGAUCCACCCGCCUCAGCCUCCCAAAGUGAUAGGAUUAUGAUUACAGGCGUGAGCCACUGCGCCCUGCCUGGGCUGUGGUCUUUAACUGGCUGAGAGCCUUCAGAUGAGAACACUCUGAGCCUCAGUCUCCUUCAAUGGAGGCACUGGACAGCAGGAAGUCAGAGAAGACUUUCAGUGCUAACUGCUCAGUUUUUAUCAAAGCAACUGUGAAUUGUAGAAAGGGGAAAAUUAGCUCUGAAGUAUUUAAGAGGAAAAUGGGGAAUUUUCUUGGAAUUGAUUGAACAUGUUUUAAGACAUCACAAGGAUGCCUCCAAACCUGCUUGACUAUGAACAAUGACUUGUUCUCCUCCAAGGACUAGAUAUGGAGUCUUAUGCUGACCAGGCUGGUCUUGAACUCCUGACCUCCAGUGAUCCUCCAUCUCAGCCUCCCAAAGCCCUGGAAUUACAGGCAAGGUUAUUGAAGAUCACACAGGCUGAAGAAGGGCUGCUGAAUUCUUCAAUAUGAACCAUCCCUUUGAUAAGAAACUGAGUGGGCCUGGUUCUUCUCAUCCCAGGAGAGCUCUGGUGUGCUUCCUGGCAUAUAAGAGAGCUCCCUGGCAGAGAAUGAAAACCACGCCCCUGCUUCACCUCUGCCUACACCUGGAUCUGGAAACCACUUAGGCACUACCAGGCAGCACCUGUUCUCUGCAGGGUCCAACCCUCAGUAUCUCUCUCCACAUUUUGCCCUCAGCCAGGCCUGGCCUCCUCUUCCUGAAGAAUCUUAUGUAUCCUUCAGAGCCAGCAAUCCCAUUACUGGGUAUACAUCCAAAAGAAAAUAAAUCGUUCUACCAAAAAGACACACGCAACCGUGUGUUCAUUGUUGCCCUAUUCACAAUAGCAAAGACAUGGACUCAACCUGUGCCCAUCAACUGGUGGAUUGGAUUUAAAAAAAUGUGGUGUGUAUACACUUGAAAUACUAUGCAGCCAUAAAAAAAUCAUGUCCUUUGCAGCAAUAUGGAUGCAGCUGGAGGCCAUUAUCCUAAGCUAAUUAACACAGGAAGAGAAAACUAAAUACCGCAUGUUCUCACUUAUAAGUGGGAGCUAGGACGGGCGUGGUGGCUCAUGCCUGUAAUCCCAGUGCUUUGGGAGGCCAAGGUGGAUAGAUCACCUCAGGUCAGGAGUUUGAGAUCAGCCUGGCCAACAUGGUGAAACCCCAUCUCUACUAAAAAUACAACAAAUUAGCCAGGGGUGGUGGCGGGCACCUGUAAUCUCAGGUACUCGGGAGGGUGAUGGGGGAGAAUUGCUUGAACUCGGGAGGCAGAUGUUGCAGUGAGCCAAGAUCGUACCAUUGCAUUCCAGCCUGGGCAACAUGAGCAAAACUCUGUCUCAAAAAAAAAAAAAAAAAGUGGGAGCUAUAUAUUGGGUACUUAUGGACAUUAAAAUGGCAAUAAUAGACACUGGGGACUACCAGAUGGGGGAAGGAGGCAGGGAGGUGAAAGGGAAGAAACAGGUGCAAGGAUUAAAAAACUACUUAUUGGGCACUACGCUUAGUACCUGAGUGAUGGGAUCAAUUGUACUGCAAACCUCAGAAUCACACAAUAUAUCCAGGUAACAAACCUGCACAUGUACCCUCUGAAGCUAAAAUAAAUGUUGAAAUUAUUUUUUAAUCAAAUUUUAAAAAACUCUGUAAAUUAUUUCUCAGCAGUCUCUGUGGUUAUGUUCCUGAGUUCAAAAAGCAGAAGAAUGCUGAGGAGACAAAAAAAUAAAAAUAAGAUUAAUCCAGAUACUGUCAUUUCCUAGCUGUGUGACUUCAGGCAAGUCACUGCACUUUUCUGGUCCUGUUUUUCCUGUUCUAAAAUAGACUCAAUAAUAAAUAACCGCCUCCUGGGAUUGCUGGGAACAUUGAGUGCUGUCACGAAUGAAAAAUCCUUGUGUGGAAGUUCCUUCUUCCUUUUGAUGUCCCACAUCAGAAAGAAUCAGUUUUCUUUUUCUCCCAUGUUCAUUAUUCUUCUCCUAGCACAAGCUUUAUUCUGCCAGGUGGGACGGUUUCUGGGUCACAGUCUGUUUCCCUACGAGUCCACAGCUAUUUGGGGACAGGGACUGUAAUACACACAGCUUCCUUUUCUCAGUCCAGCACGUGGGAGGGAGACAAGCCAGUAUGCAAGGCAAAUGUGGCCUUUGGGGUCAAGCAAGCUUGGGCUUGAAUCCCACCUGUCUUUGCCACUUACUAACCAUGUAAUGUUAGCCAGUCACUUCGUUAACAUUUGAACCUCAACUUCCUCAAAGUAAAAUGAGCCUAAUUACACCUACUCAGAAUUGCUACGGAGGAAAAAAAAAAAAACAAAAAGUUAGACAUUUAAUGUCCCUAACAUAGUAUCUAGCACAAUGGUAAGAUCCUGAUUGUUAUAAAAGUUGCUAUUAUGAUUAUUAUCACUCUUAAUAUUCAGUGCUCAGUAAAUAUUUUUGGAAUGUAAUAAAAUGUCUGGUUGUAUUGCUUAGUUUUGGCUUGAGUUCCAAUGAAAUACCAACAGGCCAUUAUCCCCACAUGCCAGCCAUCUGUGCAGCCUUCAACACACACUUACUGAAGACACCAGAAAGGAAAUUCAAAUGCUUUCAGGACACACUGUGGGCCAGGCACUAUAGGAAGUGUUUUCCUUAUACUGCUUUGCUGAAGGCCCACACUUCUAUGAGAUUGCUGUUAUUGCUGUUAUUAGCUUGAUGUCUGCAGAAGAGAAAACUGAGGCUUUGUGGCUGGAUAUGUCUUUCCUUGUAGUUCUAGCAGAACCAGGGUGCAAACAUGGGGGCGUUUGACUCCAGGCCCCUGCUCUCUCCACUGUACCAUACCAUUCUUUCUUUUUUUUGAGACGGAGUCUCACUGUGUUGCCCAGGCUGGAGUGUGGUGGUGCGAUCUCGGCUCAAUGCAAGCUCCACCUCCCGGGUUCACGCCAUUCUCCCGCCUCAGCCUCCCGAGUAGCUGGGACUACAGGCGCCUGCCACCAUGCCUGGCUAAUUUUGUUUCUCUUAUUUUUAGUAGAGACGGGGUUUCACCGUGUUAACCAGGAUGGUCUCGGUCUCCUGACCUCGUGAUCCGCCCGCCUCGGCCUCCCAAACGUACCAUUCCUUUCUUGUGGAGGCACCAAGAAGUAGAAAAUGUGAGAGUUCCCGACUUCAGGAAGAAUCUAGACCAAUGGUAGAGAUCAGCCUCAUGGAGAGAGGUGCUGACGCCAUUUGGAAGAAUAAUAUCCUGAGGUGCAGAGAUGUAAGAGAACUUCCCAAGAUCAUACAGUGAUUAGAUGUGGGGCGGGACAGAGGCUCCACUCAGGUCUGCACUGCUACAAAGCUGUACCCUCUGGGCUGAUGGCAUGGCUCAGUGAAGGAGCUCUCUCUGUUCCCAAGGCAGAGGCUCUAACUGUCUUCACCUGGGUUCAAGGCGCUGGGAGGAAAAUGAACAUCUGUUGUGUACCCCCCAUACACCAGACACACUGCUAGGCUAUGCUAAUUUAUGAAAUCUUCCCAACAACCCAGAAAAGAAUGCACCAUUAUUUUCACCACUCACAGAUGGAAAACAGGCUUGGAGAGGGAAGAUGACUUGCUUCAGGUCCUCACCAUAGAUGCUUGGAUGUCUUUCUGUUUUCAGAAGCCUCAUGUCCUAUUACUUCUCUGAGUAGCACAGAGCCGAGGGAAUUUUGCUACAGAUCAAGUGCAGGGAGGUAUUUGGGGAAAAUAGCUUAUUGUGACAUUGCCUGAGCACUUGACUAUGAAACCAGGUCUCCUCCUAAGAGCAUUGAAUGUGCAUUAACUCAUUCCCUCCUCAAAGCAAACCUAUGUGGCAAACACCAAACACCAAUAUCAUGCCCACUUAACAGAUGGAGAAUCUGAAGCGCAGCACGAAGAGGUGUAUUAACUUGAUGAAGGUCACACGGCCAGUAAGUGGUGGAGCCAGGAAGCCUGGCACCUGAGUCUCUUUUCUUAGCCCUUCCGCAAUACUUCCUCAUACAACAACCAUGUAAGGUAGUGUGACAUAGGAAAAACAAACUCAGUUUCUCCUGUGAUACCCUCUCACCACACAAUCAACACAGAACACUUCUGUGACCUCUGGUCACCAAGAAGUGUGUGGCAAUUUCUCUCUGGCAGCAACCAGUUCUCUGGGAGAUCUUUCAGCAGACACCAGCUGGGUGUCCUCUAAUUCAGUUCAAUUUUGACACUAUCUAACUGGAGAUGGUGUCAGAUCCCACAGGUUGAGUACUCAGUCCCAUAAGACUGCCUCCAAUUUCCACUGCCAAUUCCAAGCCCCAGGUUAUUAAACCUGUGCUUCUGAUGACCAGCUAUAAAUCAGGGUUCCCACAAUCCCUUCCUUGGGUUUCAUGAACUUGCUACAGCAGCUCACAGAACUCAGGGAAAUACUUAUGUUCCCUGGUUUAUUAUAAAGGAUAUACCAAUUAUCACCAGAUGGAAAAGUUGCACAGGGCAAAUAAUGUGGGAAGAGGCACGGAGUUUCCAUGCCCUGUCUGAGCACAUCGUCCUCCAGGAACCCCCAUGUGUUCUACUCUCUGGAAACUCUUGAACCUAGUCCUUUUGGAUUUUUAUGCACACUUCAAUACUUAGACAGCAUUGAUUAAAUCAUUGGCCACUGGUGAUCAACUUAACCUUUAAGCCCUUCUCCCCAGUUCAGAGGUUGGGGGUGGGGCUAAAAGUCCCAACCCUCUAAUCUUGUCUUGGCCUUUCCUGUGACCAGCCCUCACCCUGAAGCUACCUAAGGGUGGAUAGCCAUCAGUCAACUCAUUAGUAUACAAAAGACACUUAUCACUUUAAUGAUAACAAGAAUUUUAGAAGUUAUAUGCCCAGAAACAGGGAUAAACACCAAUAUAUAUUAAUUUGCAGGUACUAUUAUUUCACCCUUUUUUUGAAUACUGGGAGAUUAAGACUUAAAGAGGUUUAAAGCAACUUGUCUCAUUACAGAGGAAGGGAUCGAGACAGGAUUUGAACCUGUACAGCUUGAUACCAAAUAACUUGUGCCUAGCAGUGAGUUACUUAUUCAGGGGUCAGGGCCAGGCCUUCAUUAGGGCAGGCUGGACAUACGGACUUUUCCAUGCUGCUAGGUUUAACAGGCUGGUAUCGCUUCCCCAUCUCUUGUCACUAAAAACUCAAUUAGCAGCUUGAGGCUGUGUCCUCACAUCACACCUUCUCAUUGAUCACUCAGACUGUGAGUGAGAAAGAUUUUAAAGCUGGUUGGCUUUGCAAAGCAUAGAGCAGCAACCAUUGAGCAUAUGCUUCUGUGGGUAUAUAUUUAUUCAGCUUAUGUUGAGUAUAAUUUUGGAUGGUAUGCAUAUUUUAUUUUUUGUUGCAGAGAGCAAUUUAAAAGAAGAAAAAAAAUCCUUCUCUGAAUGGAGACAGAUGCCAUAUAUGUUGGACCCUCAGGGGAUUGAAAAGGAUGAGGUUCCCAAGUCCAGUGUUCUGGGGACGGACGUGGGUGGAAGGAAACUCACAAGUGAUGGGAAUCCAGGAUCAACUGCAACACCCACAGCAAGGCCAGCAAGGCACUAACCACCCAGUCCAGGGCAGGGCCCUUCAAGGUUUUAUUCCCAAGGCCUCCCCAGUAGCCUGUCUGACUGUUCUCUACAUGCUAUUUACUGAGUACUAAAUAUUGAGUGAUGGGUGAAGUGCACAUCAUCCCCCUUAACUUUCCCCACAACUCCAUGUUGAGAUGCUGUUGUACAUAUGAGAACACAGAUACUACAUUGCCCAAUGUCAUCAACUAGAACAGCAGGAAUCUGUGUGCUGGGAAGCCAGACCCCAGAACCAGUGCUCUCAAAUCCCCACCAAUGUCAUCUAGUGGUUACUGGAGUCCUUAUUUUGGAGUCCUGAUAUCCAUGCUACCAAUUCCUAUCUGAGUGACAAUGAACAUGUCACUUCCCUUUCUGAGUUGGCUUCCACACUCACAGGAUGGAGACUGAGAUACCAUUUUGCUAGGGUGUUAUCAAGAUUCAGAGAUCCAAAGUUACACUUAAAAGUCAUUUGAGACAUUUGUUCUUUUUUUCUACCCCACCCCCUGCCUAAAAGGUUCUCCUCUUACCCAGGAUGAACUCAAGAUGUAACAUUUUAAAAUGAGCCUUAGGAAAAAACCUGCAAGGGUUGGUACCAGCUGGAGAAAAAUAAAUACGCUCAUGUGGGUGCCAAAGAUUCAAAAGAGAGAAGCAGCAGCCCAAACCAGAGUCUACACCAGAGGGAAUCAUUAUGGAAGGAGAAAGUUCAUCCUAUCAUUGUGCAGAAAGGAAGGAUCCAUGUGUGACUCUAGGGAGUAGGAUCCAAAGCAUCAUUUUCUAGCUCUGUAAAUAGACUAUGGACUCUUUGCUAGUUAGGACACAGUAUCUUUCUAAUGUUAGGGCCCAGAAGAGGGUCUUACACAGCAGUACUUAGUUGUUGAGCUCUGAAUGCAGCUAAAAUUCAACUGUGGGUUGUCUAAUAACCAGUUUUUGCUUCAACCAAAGGCAAGUUUGAUCUAGUUUGAUAAGAUGUGCUAGAUGCUGGAGAAUCCAUUACCAACAGUCAAGAAUCACAUAAAAGAGCUGCUCUAUGCAUACCUAAGUGGGAAAACUGUAAAAAAAACAUGAUUAGCAUAAAAGACAGGGUCUUGGCCACUUCCAGAAGGGAGGACAGGGUUACAAUUGGAAAUGGAGGCAUGGUGGGUGUGUUGGGGGAGGGCUUAUGGAAUGCAGGCAAUAUUCUAUUUCUUGACAUGGGUGAUGGUUUAGGUGAGAAUUGCUUAAUUCGUAUCAAAACUGUAAAUAAUGUUUUACAUAUUUUUCUAUAUAUUAUAUUGCACAGUAAAAUUGCUAAACAUCUAUCUAUCUAUCUAUCUAUCUAUCUAUCUAUCUAUCUAUCUAGUUAUCUAUCUAUCUUAUAGUAAAUCUACUAAAAGGACAUGUCAAAAUGUUAGUAGUAGCUAUUUGGAGGUGACAUGACUAUGGGUGAUAUUGUUCUUUAUUUUUUCUCUAUAUGUCCUAAAUAUUCUUGUAUGUGCAUAUAAUAAUUUCAUAAUUAAAAAAAAACACGUUUUAGUUGAAUUGCUUCAUUACCUAAAUAAGGCAACAACAAAAACGUGAAGGUCAGUUCCACCACUUCUGCCUGAAAUUCCUCCAAUGGAGAACCUCAUCUUCUCCCUAAGGUUCAAUGUGCAUGAAAGAACAGCUCUGCAGAGUAAGUUGAGGGGUGCCAAAUCCCACUGGCUCUUAUAUAGGCCUAUCUGCAGUGUCUUCCCCCUCUGGAACCAAGUACAUCUUUGACUUAGGUACUGUGGCGGGAAAGGGAGAUGCCCCAGAGAGAAUCAAGUUUAACUCUGAAUUUGUAGGAAGGACAGGAGCAUAGCUGAGGAUUCACAGUAAACAGAGUCAUGUUGAGAAACAGGGUCCCUUCAUCACCUCGGACUGUAUUAUCCCCAUGAUCAUGGGCCUGAAAAAUCACCUUUCCCUUUCAGUGAUGAUGAAGAAAAUUUCUGAAAACCAAGGAAAGCCAGAAAAGGCUACUAAGUUUCCUAGCUCAACAAGCUCCUCUCUACACAAUAGGACCUGAUCUUAGGAAGGGAGGCCAUGGCCCUGGGUUUUGCUCAUGCCUGGCUACUUUCACUGGGUCCGGCCAACAAUAUUGUAAGGUGCAGGGAUCAUUCCCAUUUUAUGGAUCAGAUUAGAGGGGCUCAGAUACAUUCAGCAAUUUGUCCAAAGUCACACAGCUUCCCAGUUACAGGGAUGGGAUUUGAAUCCAACUCUGAAUUAUGGACAAGUCUAUUCUUUUUACUGGACUGGAAUUCUGAUUAACUAGCCCAUCUCUCUCUAGGAACGUCUGUCACUCAGUUCGGGUAGAAUUUUCUCAAUGAGGAGAAAGGCUAUUGAGUGUUUGAUGAAACCUUCUCACUGUUUGCUCCCUCAAGGGAAAGGGAUUUCAAAAUACCUGGGCUAGUGGGUCAAGACUUCUUAAAGCAGGGAUCAGAGAGAAGCUGGAGAAUACAGGCAAAAGGAUACCUUUAUUAUUUGUAAAAUUUAAUAACAAUAAUAAUAAUGUCAUUUGUCAUCCAUUUAUCCUCAAGACCUAUGAUAAAAGACAAAAGAAUGAUGAUAAAAAUAAAAGCAUGUUAUCCUGGGUGGAAGAGAGUCCUACACUGGAAUUUCAGACACCUGGGUUCUAUCCAAGCAUAGCUCUUGUGCUCUUUAGCCUCAAUUUGAUCAUCUUUAUUUAUUACCCAAGGGGAAAAUACACACACACACACACACACACACACACACACACACACACGGUUAAGAUCAAGCUAGGAAGUCAGUUGUCCUAAAAAGAAAAAAAAAUUGGAAAAGCUCUAGGAAAAGCAGAAUGUGUAGUUCUGACUUAGAAAAUUGUCCCGAAGAAACACAACUGUAUGCUUUUUAUGCUUCCAUUUUUAAAAUUACAUAUAUAAAUUCUUAUUUAUAUUUGCAUAUGCAUAGGGAAGAAGUGUAUGGAAGGAUAUGUAUCUAUCUAUAUAUACACCAAACCGUGG
rnacentral:lncRNA from 1 species